UGAGCAAUCUGCCCUUCUCUUCGGAAUAAGCGUUGGAAACGACGUCUAAUGCCGAAUACGACCUCCUUUCGCAUGAUCGGAGGUGGAAAGCUCCGGCGGAGAAGGAUGAGCUCGCGGCCUAUCAGCUAGUUGGUGUGGGUAAUGGCCCACCAAGGCGACGACGGGUAGCCGGCCUGGAGAGGGUGACCGGCCACACUGGGACUGAGACACGGCCCAGACCUCCGUACGGGAGNAGCG
rnacentral:rRNA from 1 species